rnacentral:rRNA from 1 species
GUAGGUGGCAAGCGUUGUCCGGAAUUAUUGGGCGUAAAGCGCGCGCAGGCGGUCCUUUAAGUCUGAUGUGAAAGCCCACGGCUCAACCGUGGAGGGUCAUUGGAAACUGGGGGACUUGAGUACAGAAGAGGAAAGCGGAAUUCCAAGUGUAGCGGUGAAAUGCGUAGAGAUUUGGAGGAACACCAGUGGCGAAGGCGGCUUUCUGGUCUGUAACUGACGCUGAGGCGCGAAAGCGUGGGGAGCAAACAGGAUUAGAUACCCUGGUAGUCCACGCCGUAAACGAUGAGUGCUAAGUGUUAGGGGGUUUCCCGCCCCCCUUAGUGCUGCAGCUAACGCAUUAAGCACUCCGCUGGGGAGUACGGCCCGCAAGGCUG